rnacentral:lncRNA from 1 species
UUUUUUCUUUUCUUUUGAAGAUUUAUUUUAUGCGAGUAUGCUAUAGAAUAGGGCUUCAGACCCCAUUACAGAUGGUUGAGCCACUGCGUGGUUGCUGGGAAUUGAACACCAGAGCAGUGAGUGCUCUUCACCACUGAGCCAUCUUCCCAGCCCCGACUGUCCUGUAGUCCAGGCUAGACUUGAACUCUACCUGUCACUGCCUCCCAAGUUCUAGUUUUACAGACAUGCACCACCACUGCACAGCCUUUAUUCUUAUUUUGAAGAGGAUAUAUCUCUCAUAGAAAUUACAAAUAAAUUUCCAUACAUCCAUCUCCUGAGAGCCUCUGAAUCUAAUAAAGAUUUUUGCUAGCUUCUUCCAAGUAAUCCUCUUAGGGCUUUUUGUUUUGUUUUGGUCUUGUCUUUUUGUAUGUAUACAUGUUUAUGGUCACAUGUGUAUUAGCAUGUGUGUGUGGGUGUGCUUGUCACGAGUAGACCUCUGGGGUGUCUUCCAGUCACACUUCACUUUCUUGAGGCUUGGUCUCUCCCUGAAUCUGGAGCUUGGUGAUUCCUUUAUGGAUUCUAGGAAAUUGACUCUAGCUGUUAACCUUGUGGCAAGCAUUUUAUUCAGUAGUACAGAACCCUAACAUUGUAUUUUACUGAGUAGCAUUGGCUGGUCUGGAACUCAAAGCAGUCUACAUGUCUCUACUUCCUGAGAGCUGAGAUUUCAG